rnacentral:rRNA from 1 species
GCGAGGAAUAUUGGGCAAUGGGCGCAAGCCUGACCCAGUAACGCCGCGUGCGGGAAGAAGGCCUUCGGGUUGUAAACCGCUUUUCCGAGGGACGAGCGAGGACGGUACCUGGGGAAUAAGUCUCGGCUAACUACGUGCCAGCAGCCGCGGUAAAACGUAGGGGGCGAGCGUUAUCCGGAUUCACUGGGCGUAAAGCGCAUGUAGGUGGUUCGUCAAGUCGAGUGUGAAAGCCCCUGGCUCAACUGGGGGAGGACAGUCGAAACUGGCGGACUGGAGGGUCCGAGAGGAAGGUGGGAUUCCCGGUGUAGCGGUGGAAUGCGUAGAGAUCGGGAGGAACACCAGUGGCGCAGGCGGCCUUCUGGCGGGCUUCUGACACUGAGAUGCGAAAGCGUGGGGAGCAAACGGGAUUAGAUACCCCUGUAGUCC